rnacentral:rRNA from 1 species
CCACAAGCAGCGGAGCAUGUGGUUUAAUUCGAAGCAACGCGAAGAACCUUACCAGAUCUUGACAUCAAUUGACCAUCUUUUAAUCGAGAUUUUGCCUUCGGGUACAAUUGAGACAGGUGGUGCAUGGUUGUCGUCAGCUCGUGUCGUGAGAUGUUGGGUUAAGUCCCGCAACGAGCGCAACCCUUGUGUUUUAGUUGCAAACAGGUCAAGCUGUGCACUCUAGACAGACUGCCGUGGACAACACGGAGGAAGGUGGGGAUGACGUCAAAUCAUCAUGCCCCUUAUGAUCUGGGCUACACACGUGCUACAAUGGCCGGUACAACGGGCAGCGAAGGAGCGAUCCGGAGCGAAUCCUAAAAAGCCGGUCCCAGUUCGGAUUGCAGGCUGAAACUCGCCUACAUGAAGUUGGAGUUGCUAGUAAUCGCGAAUCAGAAUGUCGCGGUGAAUGCGUUCCCGGGUCUU